GCAGUAGCAGGCAUACUGUCUAGGUGAUGGCUGCUCCGCUUUUGCACCCUGCUCUAGGAGGAGGAGGUGGAUGUGGAGUAGGAGGUUGAGGAUGCGGUGACCAUGGCGGCGACGACGCAUUCGGAUGUCUGCACUAUCAACUUUCAAUGUUACUUUCUGCACCUACCAUGGUGACCACUGGUAACAGGGAAUCAGGGUUCAAUUCGAGAGAGGGAGCCUGGGAAAUGGCUACCACAUCCAAGUAAAAGCAGCAGGCAUGCAAAUUACCCACUCCUGAUGUGGGGAGGUAGUGAC